rnacentral:lncRNA from 1 species
GGCUCUGUGGCUCACUUCCUGUGGUUGUGGCAGCGACAGCGAUGGAGACUGCAGCUCGACAGGAAUGGUCAAAGAAAACAAUUAUCGGGGACAUGGGGAUAGUGUGGACCAGCUUUGUUGGCAUCCAAGUAAUCCUGACCUAUUUGUUACGGCGUCCGGAGAUAAAACCAUUCGCAUCUGGGAUGUGAGGACUACAAAAUGCAUUGCCACUGUGAACACUAAAGGGGAGAACAUUAAUAUCUGCUGGAGUCCUGAUGGGCAGACCAUUGCUGUAGGCAACAAGGAUGAUGUGGUGACCUUUAUUGAUGCCAAGACACACCGUUCCAAAGCAGAAGAGCAGUUCAAGUUCGAGGUCAACGAAAUCUCCUGGAACAAUGACAAUAAUAUGUUCUUCCUGACAAAUGGCAAUGGUUGUAUCAACAUCCUCAGCUACCCAGAACUGAAGCCUGUGCAGUCCAUCAACGCCCAUCCUUCCAACUGCAUCUGUAUCAAGUUUGACCCCAUGGGGAAGUACUUUGCCACAGGAAGUGCAGAUGCUUUGGUCAGCCUCUGGGAUGUGGAUGAGUUAGUGUGUGUUCGGUGCUUUUCCAGGCUGGAUUGGCCUGUAAGAACCCUCAGUUUCAGCCAUGAUGGGAAAAUGCUGGCGUCAGCAUCGGAAGAUCAUUUUAUUGACAUUGCUGAAGUGGAGACAGGGGACAAACUAUGGGAGGUACAGUGUGAGUCUCCGACCUUCACAGUGGCAUGGCACCCCAAAAGGCCUCUGCUGGCAUUUGCCUGUGAUGACAAAGACGGCAAAUAUGACAGCAGCCGGGAAGCCGGAACUGUGAAGCUGUUUGGGCUUCCUAAUGAUUCUUGAGAGGAGGUUGUAGGGAGAGGAGGCCCCGGCAGAGGUCUUCCUUCAUGUGGUUAGUUUGGUCUGUUCUCUCGGAGUUGGUGGGCACCCUAAAUAUUUGUAAGUUGGUAUAAAUUGUAAACGUCUCUGGUCAGGCUGCGCAUUUCGUUCUUUUGCUUUGUCUGUGUAUUAGCUCUUUCCAUUCUUUGCCCCCAGCAUGAGUUAACUCGCGUGGACUCUGCAGUGCGAGUAGUGACCCCAGCAUACCUUGUCCUCUGGACCUCCUGUCUUCUCUGCUUCUGGGUGCAUGGUAGACUUUGUGGCAUUUGAUACAACUUGGACAAUACCUAGUUUGGAGGGAGGGGAAUGGAAGGGCAUGGAAGUUUUUUUAAAUAAUUAAAAAAAUAUAUAUAUAAUUUUGAGAAUUGAGCAUUUAAUAAACUGACUUUUGUUAUUAUGGAACUUCUAA